CUCACUCUGCGUGACUUAAUGUGCAACUGAGUAUUUAUCACUCUUCUGAGAGUCCAGAUUUUCUCAUGUAUUUUACAGCAAAUAGAGGGACUUGAUUUGGGACUUUGCAUCCUACUUUAGAGGCUAGGUCCCUGAAGUCUGCAUAUGGUAGCAUCUACCUUACAGGUACUGUACCAGAUAUGUUUCUUUUUCCUUAUAUUGCAGUCAUUCUUCCUGUAAAGAAACAAAAAGGUGUGGGGAAAAACAUCUAAAGGAGAAGAAUGUGUCCUUAGGAUCAGCAUUUCUUCACUUUAACAGAUGGGAGAAUUGAAGGAAUAGAAUUAUGAAGCUAUGCAUCUGCUUAAAGCCAUAAAGGCGGCCAGUGACAAAUCGAGGAAUAGAAGCCAAGUCUCUUGAGUUGCAGCCUAAUGCCAUUGAAUACUGUGAUCAACAAGACAGUUUGCCUUCUGAUGUUACAGUGAGUCUUUAUCAAGCUUCUUCAGGACGAAGCCCCAAGGCAUGGCUGCAGUGGUGGUUUGAAACAAG